GUUAAUUACAUUCACAUUCACAUGCCAGCAACACAAGACAACAAAAAAGUGUUGGGGGCCGGCUGCAACAUUUCCUUCUCAAGCACAUGCCCCCAAGUCCCCAACUGCCCAGCCCAAUUCAAUCGUAAUCAACAUUCAAUAUUUAUUUAUGCUGAACAAAUCAACAUUUUUGCAGUGAUUGCACCAUACCUAAUUACCUACACCAUUCUCGACUGGACCCCUUCCCAUAAUCAUGCCAUUAUCCAUCAAUGUAAUAAAUUAAGGAAACUAAAAGAUUCAACAUUAUUCCAAUGAUGAAAACUCAGGUUCAGUAGACUUCACAUGAAGUUGAUAACUAAGAACUGUUAAAUGAUUUUACUGGUUCGACUAAAUUUUUAUCUAACAGCUCUCAACUAUCAACUAUCAACUAUCAACUUCACUUCACGUAAAGUCGACUCCGCUGAACAAAAUGUUUUCACUCAUUGAGUACGUGCCAACUAGUGGAACUGCUUAGAAGCAAAGAGAGUGUGCCAGACAUAUAAGCUGCUGCCAUUCACACAUGUAUGAAUGAGGCCGAGGCAAGGAGCAAGGGAGUGGAUUAGAACAUUUUCCCAGUGGCUAAAACACGACAAAAGCGUUUGAUGUUGAAAGGAAACAAAAUUUAUGUAUGGUCCAAUCCAACAUGAAUCAGAAGCCGCGUUGAGCGCAUGGGGGGUCCUACUCCUAACCCCACUCCAAGACUCCCAGUACUCUCUCUCUCUCUCUCACUUUGACUCAAGGAGAAAAAUAAAAGCACCUUCUUUUUUGUUACCGUGCUUUUAAUCGCCUUGUUUAACGGAAAUAGCUACUAGCUAGUGACCUAAACGACAAUAAUUAGUAAAAUCUGCUAGCAUAAUUGGUGAUUUGGUGAGUGAUAUUGAUAACGCCAUUAUGGGCUUUACGAAAAGGUCCUUAUACUUUAGAGGAGAAAAGCAUUCGAUGAAAGGCGGGAACAAUGUCUAAUAAGUAAUAAGGUCAUUUCGCAUCCCUAAGAUUAUAUACCAAAAAAUUCCAAAAAGUCCUUUCAUUGGGUCCCAUAUGCUUAAGUUGCCAUGCCUUCUUUUAUGCAUCUCGAGGCUAGUUAUGAUUUUCCACUCCUACUGUUUACACUCUACUACUUUUUCUUUCUUGUUUUUUUUUUUACAAGUUUAGCUUAGCUGUCUGAAACUAAGAUAUAAUCACUGUGAAUAUUGCCUACAGUCAACUAUUGUGGUUUUAAGAAAUUAAGAAGCGCGUAAUUAUAGCAUUAUACCAACUUUAUGAGUUCAUUAAAUUCGUAGCCUCAAUUCUAUAAAGUAUAAACUUCUAACAUUUUUCAAUUAGUGUAAAUAUCCUCAUUAAAAAAUGCCAAAAGCAAAAGCAAAAAGUAUUAUCUUAAAAACAAUUACUGGAAAUUACUAUCUUUUUAACUAUUCGCUUGCAACUUGGCCACUUUAAUUUUCAUCAUGUUUUCUAGCAGAUCUUUUUGUUCAUUCCUAUUUUUGGGCACAAUUUUACCUUCAUCCUUGAAACUAUUAAAGGAGGAAAAAGAAGAAAAUAGAAAAUGACAUGAAAUUGAAAGGAGGAAAGCUACCCUCACCCACAUUUAAAAUUAAAAGAGAUAUACUAUUCUGUACAAUUAAAAAAGUAAUCAACAUCUGUUCUAUUUUGAGUUGUUAGUUGUUACUUGUUACUAUACAGUUUUAAUACCAAAAAAAAAAAAAGACAGUGAAAAAUGCAGAGUCGGUGGAGAACAGAACAUAGAAAUGAGACUUGUUAGUUCACUUCAUCUAGAGCUAGAAGAGCUUAACCAACCAAA